GGCAGCAGCCGCGGGAACACCGGCAGCUCUAGUGGUAACAAUUUUAUGGGCCUAAAGCGUCCGUAGCCGGUUUAAUAAGUCUCUGGUGAAAUCCUGUAGCUUAACUGUGGGAAUUGCUGGAGAUACUAUUAGACUUGAGACCGGGAGAGGUUAGAGGUACUCCCAGGGUAGAGGUGAAAUUCUGUAAUCCUGGGAGGACCGCCUGUUGCGAAGGCGUCUAACUGGAACGGUUCUGACGGUGAGGGACGAAAGUUAGGGGCGCGAACCGGAUUAGAUACCCGGGUAGUCCUAACUGUAAACGAUGCGGACUUGGUGUUGGGGUGGCUUUGAGCUGCUUCAGUGCCGAAGGGAAGCUGUUAAGUCCGCCGCCUGGGAAGUACGGUCGCAAGACUGAAACUUAAGGAAUUGGCGGGGGAGCACCACAACGCGUGGAGCCUGCCGGUUUAAUUGGAUUCAACGCCGGACAUCUCACCAGAGGCGACAGCUGUAUGAUAGCCAGGUUGAUGACUUUGCUUGACUAGCUGAGUGGAGGUGCAUGG
rnacentral:rRNA from 1 species